GGCCGCAGUGAAGCCUGAACUCGAGUAGGGCCCAAGCCAGCCAGGAAGGAGGAGGCAGCCAGAGUGUUCUCUGCAGCAGAAGACCCCUUGCUGCCCUGCUCAACCCAGACCAGCAUUUGCCAGGAGGACCCUGAAGACGUACCUGUUUUCUCAGAAGUUCAACCAAUACCAAAAUCUUUGAAUUUUAAUGUGUUUUUAUCUAUUAUGAUUGUUAUCUUUUUAUGAAUUUCAAAUGCUUUAUAUUUUAUAUUAUGUUUUAAUUCUGUCCACCGCCUAGAGAUUUUGAUAUUGGGUGGUAUAUAAAGUCAACAAACAAAGAAACAAAUAAAUAUUAUUUACUA